ensembl:snRNA U6 U6 spliceosomal RNA
GUGCUCGCUUUGGCAGCACAUAUACUAAAAUUGGAACGAUACAGAGAAGAUUAGCACGGCCCCUGCACAAGGAUGACAUGCAAAUUUGUGAAGCAUUUCAUAUUUUU